rnacentral:rRNA from 1 species
UGAUCCUGGCUCAGAUUGAACGCUGGCGGCAGGCCUAACACAUGCAAGUCGAACGGUAACAGGAAGUGCUUGCACUUCGCUGACGAGUGGCGGACGGGUGAGUAAUGCUUGGGAACUUGCCUUUGCGAGGGGGAUAACCAUUGGAAACGAUGGCUAAUACCGCAUAAUGUUUUCGAACCAAAGUGGGCUUUUAGCUCACGCGCAAAGAGAGGCCCAAGUGAGAUUAGCUAGUUGGUAAGGUAAAGGCUUACCAAGGCGACGAUCUCUAGCUGUUCUGAGAGGAAGAUCAGCCACACUGGGACUGAGACACGGCCCAGACUCCUACGGGAGGCAGCAGUGGGGAAUAUUGCACAAUGGGGGGAACCCUGAUGCAGCCAUGCCGCGUGUGUGAAGAAGGCCUUCGGGUUGUAAAGCACUUUCAGUGGUGAGGAAAAGUUAGUAGUUAAUACCUGCUAACCGUGACGUUAACCACAGAAGAAGCACCGGCUAACUCCGUGCCAGCAGCCGCGGUAAUACGGAGGGUGCGAGCGUUAAUCGGAAUUACUGGGCGUAAAGCGCACGCAGGCGGUUUGUUAAGCUAGAUGUGAAAGCCCCGCGCUUAACGUGGGAUGGUCAUUUAGAACUGGCAGACUAGAGUCUUGGAGAGGGGAGUGGAAUUUCUGGUGUAGCGGUGAAAUGCGUAGAGAUCAGAAGGAACAUCAAUGGCGAAGGCAGCUCUCUGGCCAAAGACUGACGCUCAUGUGCGAAAGUGUGGGUAGCGAACAGGAUUAGAUACCCUGGUAGU